UUUCAUUCCGUUUCUUGGCAACAAAGCAUUUUUAAAUAAUUUUUUUGUCUAAGUAUGUAUUUCAGUGUACAGAGACAAGGUACUGCCUAAAACAGACAGUGAACAGUACCAUAUAGAAGCAAAAGAAAAAGGGAGUGUAAUGUUUGGAUAGCCACCUUUUUCCUUUGGUGCCAGACUUUCCAGACCAUUGCAAAGCCUGCUGUAAGUCUUCCUCAAAGAAACCAUCAGCAAGUGAUGGAGAAGUGACAGUGGAUGCUCAAACACCAGUUGGCUUUACCUACAGAAGUGCAGGCCUGGGAGCUUCAUGUCCUUCAUGGGGACUUGCCAUAGCCAAGGGAAGGGCACAGGAAUCCCAGAGGAUGCUUUAUGCCAAUUCCCAGGAUGCAUUUUCAGGCAUGACCUGGGCUCUUCUUUCAAUAAGGGGUGGCAGUUUUGCUACAGUGACCUCUAGGAACUGAUGAUGCCAAGCCCCAGGACCCUGCAGCACCCUGCUGUGCCCAGCUCCCCUGGUGCUGGGAACACCCCUAAAGGACAACACACCCCAGAGAUCCUGCUGUUCACCCUGAGGUGCACGUGUGCCAGAGGAAGAGCUGCUUUCCUCCCUUCCUUUUCAUGGCCCAGCAAAACAAGUUGCAAGACUGGGACUAGAAGACACCCCUGAGAUCAAAGGGUGAGCAAUGAGCACAGUUCCACCUGACUGCCUUAAAAUAGUUUGGAUCCUACUGUUCACUUCUGCCUGGAAUAGUCCCACUCCUCAUCUGGAAGCUGCUGUGAGUCUGGCUGAGGACAGACACAACCCACACAGAGAGCAAGGGGAACUCAGCCCUGUGCUUUCCCUGGGGGAGCACCCUUGGGAAACUUCUUGGCUGUGUUGUUUUGAAACUGGUAACUGCAAGAAAACCAAUCCCUCUUGUGUUUGCACUAAACAUUUUUAAGUAAUUUUUAAGUUCUCUGUCUAAUGGAAAACCCCUGGGUGUCUACAUCUCCAGUGAGCACCACUCAGCAGAGUUAUCAGAGGCACAUUUCCACUAAAUCUUAGGGGUAUUUUCACUGAAAUUAAAAAAAAAGGGUUUUUUACACUUGCAGAAAGGACUUCAUUUACUGUUUCCACCAAAGGAUACAUAAAACUGAGUAUAGUAAAUCUAUAAUUGUAUUCAAAAGGAACCAUCAUCCAAAUUAUUAAAAUUGCACUUAGAUUUUCUGUAAAUAUGGAAUGAUUUUCAAAUGUAAUCAUCAUUCAACACUCCAAAGAUUGACACAGUUAUAAUUAAUACUUAGAUGGGAAGUAAUUAUAUGGUUCUUACUGCUAUAUAAAUUAUACCAUUACUGAGUCAUAUGCACACGAUGAGGUAAGGUAAGUAUGCAUUUUUUGUUAAGUAGAUGACAGUAAAUAUGUAUUUCACUAAAAUAACAGAAUUCUUUUGCAGUUCAGUAAGAUUUUCAAUAUUCUCAGUGUACUCUACCCAAAAGAACAAAAAUACACCAUUUUGCAUUGCAAAACUGCUGGCAGGCAUUGGCACAAUGUAGGCUAUAUUUCAUAUUUUUAUUUUUUAGCAGAGAGAACAAUUCCUCCAUACAAAGUACUAUUUAAACAGUUUUGUGGUACACAAAGUGUCCUGCAAUAAGAGAAACAAACCCCUUCAUCACCCAUAAGGGGCCAGGGAUGAAAACCAGCCCAGAAAUGCACCAGUCAGUUUUAUUGGCAGGAAACUCAGAAGUGAAGGAAGGCACAGAGGUUUGUUUCUGCAGCACAGGAGCUGCCCUCAGAGCUGUGCCUUCCUGCAGCUCUUGGAAACCUGCCUAGAACACAGAAAGGCCACGGGACCAGCCCAGCUUCCUUCAGGCUCAGGCUGGGGAGGUGCAGGGGGAAAUCUCAUCCACAGAAAUUAGAAGGCAAAUGUAAUUUCUUUUGUCCUCACAGCGAGCUUCUUACAUGCAACAUGACAAAAGAACAUUGCACACAAGCACAGAGGGCUCUUCACACGUGGCAGACAGUGUGUCUGUGCAUGGUGGGGGACCCUUUGAACCUAUUUGGCUUUUAACCUUUUUAACAGGGAUUUCCUGCCCUUCCACUAACUCUCUAUCUGUAGUUCACAAAACAAGGUGAUUUUAAGCAGACCUCUGAUGAAAAUGGGAGAUGGACAUUUUACUUCAUGAUAGCAAUGCAUUAGGAAAGUUAUAGAAAACUGAUCAAAGUCUUUCAUCCUUUGGUAAUAUUGAAGCAUCCCCAGCACUGUGGACUGUCAGUGGCAGCGGUUCUCACACUGUCUGCUCCCUCUGGUGGUGUGAACCACUCCAGAAAGUCUGGGCAUCCUCACAGCACAGAUCACCAAAAUAAUCAGAAUAAUCCCAGCUGCCUGGUCACACGGAUAUGGAGCCACCCAAAACAUACACUGCCAUACUGUGGCAUUUUCUAAGUUAUCACUGAACACAAGGGUUUGUCAUUCAUUGCAAACAAAUAUCUUUGAAAAACAAACUGUGAAUUAAAGGCAGUGAUACCUUACCAUGAUCACCUGCAAGAGUGGCUUAGAAUUCUCUGGUCUUGUUCAUGGUUUUUAACUGAGUGAUGUCCAACAAAGCUGUGAGGGGAAAAAAAGUCUUAUAAAUCCAACCAAAUACCUCUGCAAACAGACAGCACUAGAAAGAGAAGUUUUAGCUCUAAAACACUACAAAGAGAAGUUUGCAGCUCUAGAGCUGCUCCAACAGCUUCCAACACUACUACUGCAACAGUGUUGAUAUUUGUUGUAAUGAUGCAAUAAGAACAUGUUUUAAUUUCUUUAAGAAUAUUUAAGAUCUCAUAUAAAUCUCAGCAAAGUGGGCAGUGUCUCUCCUGAUGCUGCUCUUAAGAAAUUCCUAUUCUGCUGUCAGAUUUUAUCCUAAACUCUUGGAAAAUUCUAAUGCCAGUGCUAAAAACCAGGUUUAACACAGGGCUUUCAUUUCUUACAUUACUAAUAAACUGCUUGGCCAUGCUGUUCCUUGCUAUGUGAUCACAAUACUGUAUUUCUGUAGCCAUCUCUUUUGCUUCUACUUUUAGUACUGAUCUUUACACAGAACUUUUAGUAAAGAACAUCCACUCUUGGUA